AGAGUUUGAUCAUGGCUCAGGAUUAACGCUGGCGGUAUGCCUAACACAUGCAAGUCGAACGGAAUACUAAUUAAGAGAAUCUCACACUAGUGAGAGGUUCUCACGAGUAGUAUUUAGUGGCGGACGGGUGAGUAACACGUUGGAACCUGCCCCGAAGUGGGGAAUAACUGCUCGAAAGAGUAGCUAAUACCCCAUAGUAUCCGGUUUAUCCGGAUUAAAGAUUUAUCGCUUCGGGAGGGGCCUGCGUCUGAUUAGCUUGUUGGUGAGGUAAAAGCUCACCAAGGCGACGAUCAGCAGCUGGUUCGAGAGGAUGACCAGCCACACUGGGACUGAGAUACGGCCCAGACUCCUACGGGAGGCAGCAGUGAGGAAUCUUCCACAAUGGACGAAAGUCUGAUGGAGCAAUACCGCGUGCAGGAAGACGCUUUUCGGAGUGUAAACUGCUUUUGUCGUCGAAGAUUAUGACUGUAGACGAAGAAUAAGGACCGGCUAACUACGUG
rnacentral:rRNA from 1 species